rnacentral:rRNA from 1 species
UCAGGCCUAACACAUGCAAGUCGAACGCUCCAGCAAUGGGGAGUGGCGCACGGGUGAGUAACGCGUGGGAACGUGCCCUUUAGUACGGGAUGACAGUUGGAAACGACUGCUAAUACCGCAUACGCCCUUCGGGGGAAAGAUUUAUCGCUAAAGGAUCGGCCCGCGUUAGAUUAGCUAGUUGGUGGGGUAAUGGCCUACCAAGGCUCCGAUCUAUAGCUGGUCUGAGAGGAUGAUCAGCCACACUGAAACUGAGACACGGUUCAGACUCCUACGGGAGGCAGCAGUGGGGAAUA